UCUCCCGGUGACCUGAGAGAGAUCAUCAUCGCCCGUCUUGGAUCCAACAUCACCCUCAGCAUGAGACACACAGUGACUAUACAUCAUCAGGACCCGCAGAAAUGUGAUGUGUUUGACUGGAGAUACAGAGAUGUAACAGCGCAGCCUGAGUCCUAUUCAUCAGCACAAUACAGACUGGCUUACAAUAAAAACUGUACAGUGACUAUAGAGAACAGUGCAUCAUUUCAUAACUAUAAUGUAUCUGUGGAUGGGAAUCUGACCCUAUAUAAUGUCACCAGGGAGAAUGCUGGAGAUUAUAUGGUCAUUGUCACCAGGCGAUCAACGGGAACAACUAUAAUAACAGCUAAUUAUACGCUGCAUGUACAGGCUCCAUUCCUGCAGCUCAUUCAUUUUUCUAGUAAGUUUGUCAUCUUCAUCAUGUUCAACCUUCUGCUGAUCUCUAUGGUGCGGACGUUAGUGACGGAGAAGAACGUACAACCGGCGUAAUGAGGAGCAAGAUACGGACCCCACAUGUGCUGUCCCUAUUCCCUGACAGAUACUGUAUACACAAAGGGGUGUGACUGGGGCAUACUUGCCUACUCUUGAAAAUGCCUGUCCGGGAGAUGUGAGAAUAACACCUAUCAGCGCGGGCGUGUAACGCUACAUCUGAGGCGUGUCAUAAACAUGACUGACAUCCACAUGUAAAUGAGCCCCAUAGUUAUUAAGAUCUACUUGUUGAAGAAAAGACACUGAUAUUUUGCAGGAUUUGUUUGUGUAUUGUGUAUUACAAGAGGUGCCAUAUACUGUAAGUGGCCACGAGAAACCUUUACAAUGCAUGUAGCCUUAUAACCAAUGCAGGGAAAUGGCACUGAUGAUACCAUUUAAAUGUAUGUAUCUAUGAUUUCUUUUUUUCAGGGAGAUUGAGGGACCAUUCAGGGAGUGAGGGAGAUUGCUACUAUUUCAGGGAGUCUCCUGCAGAAUGAGGGAGGGUAGGCAACUAUGUCACUGGGGUCACAAUGGCUGCAUCUCUGUAUAAUCCCUACAGUAUGUUCCUGCCUCAGCCUCAAUCGUCACUUCCUGAAUAUAUAACAUCCUGUAAGCAGCGGGAAUGUGGCGUUUGUCAUGUAAUAAAGCCAUAUUGCUCUGUGGAAGAAU